GGGGCGGAGCUUAGCGUUUGAACCAGACGGUCGCAUGGCCGUGGAGCUCCGGACCAGCGGACUAAUUAAACACCUUUACCGACAUCUCAACUUACGCCAACUUGCCACAGGAAGACCCAGAAAACCCCCCGGGCUCCAUGGGUCGGAAAAACAAGAAGGUGAAACCCGACAAGCCCCGUCAGGGCAUGGACAUCGGGGAACUAUGGCGGCAGGCGCACUAUGCAGCAGGAGCCAAAAUGGCGUCCUUGCACGGCGGCUGCUCCGACUUUACAGACGAGUCGUCGGAGGAAGACGAGGGGGACCCCAUAGUGCCCAGGCAUGACCCACUAUCUACAUGGGCACAGUCACCCACGAAAACCCCAACCCCUGUGACCAUGGAGGCAAUUGGGGCGCUUAUGGCAGACCACCACAAGAAAAUUGCGGAUGAUGUGGCCCUGCUCAGACAGGACAUUAAAGGCAUUACUACCAGGCUGGGGGCAGUGGAAGCCACCUCUACCAAACACUCUAGUCAGAUCGUGGACCUCCAGGCAACGAUCCGGGACAUGCAACAGAAAACCCGGCAACUUGAGCAACAACUCGCA